rnacentral:rRNA from 1 species
CAAUAGCGUAUAUUUAAGUUGUUGCAGUUAAAAAGCUCGUAGUUGGAUUUCGGGUGGGACGCAGCGGUCUCGCAUUGCGUUUGUACUGCUGCAGCCCUCCUUCUUGCCGGGGGCGGCCUCUCGGACUUCACUGUCUGGGGGUCAGAAUCGGCGAUGUUACUUUGAGUAAAUUAGAGUGUUCUAAGCAAGCUUACGCUCUGAAUAUAAUAGCAUGGGAUAACACGACAGGACUCUGGCCUAUCGUGUUGGUCUAUAGGACCAGAGUAAUGAUUAAGAGGGACAGUCGGGGGCAUUCGUAUUCCGUUGUCAGAGGUGAAAUUCUUGGAUUUACGGAAGACGAACAUCUGCGAAAGCAUUUGCCAAGGAUGUUUUCAUUGA